ensembl:snoRNA
CAGCAUCCAGUGAUAGACCUUGAACAGUCUGCUUCAUCUGUUCUUAACAGUUUGCAUUAGGAUGUGAGAGAGAAAAACAUUCCUGUGUUUUCUGGGUCUCUGUGGUGACCCAGAUUGAACUGGUGAGUAUGACU